CACCACUCAAGCUCAGCUUGGUAUUAGGUCUCACCUGCUAAAGGCGGGCCGUAAAAUCAGUGGCGGUGCCAUCUGGCUUCAAGCUUAGUAAUUAUUCUAGCUUAGGAGUACCAGGUGUGUGCCUGCCAGCAACCCCAAUUUUUUAAAGG
rnacentral:misc_RNA from 1 species